AGCCUCACAAACAAGCGCCCUCGGCGUCAGAGAAGACACGAAAGGUAAAAUUCACGCAGGUUAUCGCCUCUCAUUUCUCUAGAACCUCCGUAAUAAGCUUCUCAGCGCAGUUCAAUUAAGAUUACUAGCAAAGUGAAAUGGCUGGUGGUAGGCUUGCUCAUGCGACCUUGAAAGGACCUAGUGUUGUCAGGGAGAUUUGCAUUGGAUUUGCACUUGGCUUGGCUGCUGGUGGUCUUUUGAAAAUGCAUCACUGGAACGAGCAGAGGAAAGUGAGAUCGUUUUAUGACUUGCUGGAAAAGGGUGAGAUCAGUGUUGUUGUGGAAGAAUGAAUAUGUCCUAUUCCCCUGCCUCUGCCAUUGUGUUAUGGACAGCAUCAGAAGUAUUCUGUUUGUCACCCAUGUCUUAAUUUUAAGCUGUGGGUACUUAGCCUUCAGACUUUGAAUAAAUUUCUUGUUUGAGAUGUGCAGCACAAUUGUUUUACAUGAAUGUGUGAAGUUAAUGCCUUUCACUCUGUCAUGUGCCA